rnacentral:lncRNA from 1 species
AAACAUCAGACACUGGGGCCUGUUGUGGGGUGGGGGGAAGGGGGAGGGAUAGCAUUAGGAGAUAUACCUAAGGUUAAAUGAUAGUUAAUGGGUGCAGCACACCAACAUGGCACAUGUAUACAUAUGUAACUAACCUGCACUUUGUGCAUAUGUACCCUAAAACUUAAAAAAAAAAAAAAAAAAAAAACUGCCCAAAUGAGGCCAGGCAUGGUGGCUCACGCCUGUAAUCCCAGCACUUUGGGAGGCCAAGGCAGGAGGAUCAUAAGGUCAGGAGAUCGAGACCAUCCUGGCUAACAUGGUGAAACCCCGUCUCUACUAAAUAUACAAAAAAUUAGCCGGGCAUGGUGGCGGAUGCCUGUAGUCCCAGCUACUUGAGAGGCUGAGGCAGGAGAAUGGCAUGAACCCAGAGGCGGAGCUUGCAGUGAGCCAAGAUCGCGCCACUGCACUCCAGCCUAGGCAACACAGCGAGACUCCGUCUCAAAAAAAAAAAAAAAAAAGAAAAAGAAAAAAACAGAAAGAAAAAUAAUUAGGGAAGCAUUAUGCUACACGCAGGCAAAUAGAUUUCUCUGUUACAAUACUUUCCCCAGGCUUUUCAUGAUAAGUAGCAUAAUGAAUAUCCAAAAACACAGAGGUUAUAUUGAAUUUUUAUGGCAUGUCUUUGCUAUUAGGCGGCUGUGUUCCUAAAACAAACGUCACAUGUUUGGCGUUUCUCCCUAUCCCUAUUAUCCAGGAUUUACUGACAUUAUUUAGGUACACAGUUAGCCAGCAAUAUCCUGAAGCUAUCUGAAAUCCACAAAGCAUUGUAUGAAUCAUGGCCAUGAUGUAAAUAAAACAAUAUCUUAAACUCUAAGUGAAAAUAUUCUUCUCAAAAAGUAAAGCAAAAAUAUUUCAGAAUCAUAAGCUCAGAGGAUAAGUUUAGAAUUCCUGGUUUGUUUUUUUUGUAAAUUUGCUUGAGUUCUUUGUAGGUUCUGUAUAUUAGCCCUUUGUCAGAUGGGUAGA